rnacentral:tRNA from 1 species
AGGAUAAUAGUUUAUAAAAACAUUUAAGUUGCAUUUAAAAAAUAUUGAAACCCAAUUUAUCUUA